UAAACGACUCUCGGCAACGGAUAUCUCGGCUCUCGCAUCGAUGAAGAACGUAGCGAAAUGCGAUACUUGGUGUGAAUUGCAGAAUCCCGUGAACCAUCGAGUCUUUGAACGCAAGUUGCGCCCGAAGCCAUUAGGUUGAGGGCACGUCUGCCUGGGCGUCUCAC
rnacentral:rRNA from 10 species